AUUGAACGCAGGCGGCAGGCCUAACACAUGCAAGUCGAGCGGAGCGGCGGACGGGUGAGUAAUGCAUAGGAAUCUGCCUGGUAGUGGGGGAUAACGUCAGGAAACGGGCGCUAAUACCGCAUAAUAUAAGAUGAGCCUAGGUCGGAUUGGCUAGUUGGUGGGGUAAAGGCCUACCAAGGCGACGAUCCGUCACUGGUCUGAGAGGAUGAUCAGUCACACUGAAAAUGAGACACGUUCUAGCUUCCGACGAGAAGCGGCAGUGGAGAAUAUUGGACAAUGUGCGAAUGCCUGAUCCAGCCAUGCCGCUGGUGUUAAGAAGGUCUUCGGAUUGUAAAGCACUUUAAGUUGGGAGGCGUUACCAACAGAAUAAGCACCGGCUAACUUCGUGCCAGCAGCCGCGGUAAUAC
rnacentral:rRNA from 1 species